CCCGCCCCCGCCUUACCGGGGCGAAGGUGCCGGGACGUGUCAGCUGGAGGGGGUCCUGCUCUACCCGCGUCCCGCCCCUGCUUCACUGCAUCUCCAACGGGUACCCUGGGCGCUCUCGAUUAAGGCUGUUAGUUGGAGGAAGUUAAGCUGCAGGUGAAGCGCCUCUCAGAAUACUUGGAUUGCAGCAGCCCCAACUGCAGAGACCUUUGGACAGCCCAGAAGAUAGCUGUGGCCUAAUUGAUGUUCUAUGGGUACAACUGAGGCACCCAGCAGAUGCUCCUUGAGGUGUUAUUGCCCUAAUAAAUCUGCCUCUCUCUCUCCCUGAGGAAACCAUCAAUCCUUUGCUGAAAUAAUCCACUAUCCAACUAGCUGAGAAACCAGCUCCAGGGAGACAAGUUCACAGUUAAAUGUUUUUGGAGAGUCCAUGCAGGUCUCACUUCUCUCAGUUUCUGGGUCAUCAAGUCCUGAGGCUCAGUCUCUGAUGUGGGACAUGGAUACAGCCACCCCUCCCAAGCAGCUGGUAAUGAAACAUGAGAGGAGAACAGCAGAAAGGUGGAGCCAACUGUGGGGAAUCACAAUUCCAGGGCCCCCAAAAGGGCUAGAAUGAUCACAGCAGAGAUGCUCCUAAAAAUAGUGGCAUGAAUUCUAGAACAGGGACCCGCAUAUGUGGGCUAAGUAGUUACUAUAACUGUUCUGUGGGAGGGGAAAAGAGCCAAGGAGUCUGCCAGGGGUUGGGGUGGGAAGCACCUCCUACACCACAAUGUCUUUGGAGCACUUCAACAAUUCCCCAAGGAGCCUCUGACCACUGUUACAACCCUAGCUUUCUAAGGGAUUUGCCAAUCACCAGCUCUUCCACUUGGACUGAAGAGGGAAGCAUGAUGCCACAGCCUUCAUAGUUUGGGUAACCUUGCCCAGGCCAAAGCUCCAAGAUGCAAGAAAGGAUACAGGAUGUCCUGCGGGGGUGGGUGGUCUGAGAAGGCACUGAGGGACAGGCCCUCCAAGGAGGCCUGUAGGGUCUGGGUAGUACUGUGAUCAAUCAGGAGGCCCAUACUCUGGACCUAGGGGAGAAGAGGGUAGUGAAGGUAGGACUUCUCUAAACAUCCCCUACCCCCUGUACUUCUGACCUCCUAAGGGCUGCUGUAGCCAGAUCCAACCUCCAAAAAGAUGGGAUUGAGGGUUGAGCCCCACAGGGGUUGCAUGGCAUCCAAGUUUCACCCACCUGAAGGUAGAAGUCACGAAGAGCUCUGCGUGUGGUAUUUGAGAGGGUAGAUAGGUCUGCCAAAGCUGCAACUUGCAGAACAUGACCCACCUCUUCAUGAGAGAGGACACUGCUGCUGUUGUACCGCACAAACUGGCCCAGGAAGAGAAGCCCCAAAUACCCAGUGAUUUGGAGGAAAUGCCAUUUCCGGUGCCCUGCUGUACUGGGCAAUGAGCUGGGGAUCCUGUUUUGAAGUCCAUAGAACCCUGCCUUCAAGAGUGCUGCUUUGGUGGGUAGGAGUGAGGUAAAUGAAGCAACUGAAGUCCUGAGGCAACUUUCCCUAACUGACCCUCUGGCCUUGCCUGCCUCCUUCCUCCCCCAGCUUUGCACCGUAUACUAAUGGCCAAGAUGAACUGUGCAUUUUCCGUAACCUACCACUGCCUGCUUUUGUAUCUGGUGUUCUCAUUUCACCUGGAAUACCUUCAAUACCUUCCUCCUCUCUGCCUAUUAAUCCUUCAAGCCUCAGAUAAAAUGUUACCUUCACCCUAUAAAAGCAGUUACUCUCUUCUUUGUGUUCCCAUACCAACCAAUGAUUUCUUUGUAGAUCCACUUCACUACCAUUCAUAGACUCACUGCUUUGUUAUUUAUUCAAUGGACAUUUACUAUAUGCCAAGCACUUAGCAUCUCUUCCACUCUACCAUGCAAAACAUAUUCGACUCUUCAUUUGUCUAUCUCCUUCUCUAGAUGGAGGAACCCUUAGAAGCUUAGAUUUUGGCUCACUGACAUCCUCGGCAGACUUGGCAUGUGGUGACAGAAAUAAGAGAAAAGGGUCAGGGUCUUUGGG